AUUGAACGCUGGCGGCAGGCCUAACACAUGCAAGUCGAGCGGAGCGGCGGACGGGUGAGUAAUGCCUAGGAAUAUGCCUGGUAGUGGGGGAUAACGUCCGGAAACUGGCGCUAAUACCGCAUACUAUCAGAUGAGACUAGGUCGGAUUAGCUAGUUGGUGGGGUAAAGGCCUACAAAGUCGACGAUCCGUAACUGGUCUGAGAGGAGGAUAAGUCAAACUGGAACUGAGAAACGGUCCAGACUCUGACGGGAGGAAGAAGUGGGGAAUAUUGGACAAUGGGCGAAGGCCUGAUCCAGCCAUGCCGCGGGUGGGAGGAAGGUCUUCGGAUUGUAAAGCACUUUAAGUUGGGAGGCGUUACCAACAGAAUAAGCACCGGCUAACUUCGUGCCAGCAGCCGCGGUAAUUC
rnacentral:rRNA from 1 species